rnacentral:rRNA from 1 species
ACCAAUGCCCUUCGGGGCUCUCUGGUGAUUSAUAAUAACUUCUCGAAUCGCACGGCCUUGCGCCGGCGAUGGUUCAUUCAAAUUUCUGCCCUAUCAACUUUCGACGGCUGGGUCUUGGCCAGCCGUGGUGACAACGGGUAACGGAGGGUUAGGGCUCGACCCCGGAGAAGGAGCCUGAGAAACGGCUACUACAUCCAAGGAAGGCAGCAGGCGCGCAAAUUACCCAAUCCCGACACGGGGAGGUAGUGACAAUAAAUACUGAUACAGGGCUCUUUCGGGUCUUGUAAUUGGAAUGAGUACAAUUUAAAUCCCUUAACGAGGAACAAUUGGAGGGCAAGUCUGGUGCCAGCAGCCGCGGUAAUUCCAGCUCCAAUAGCGUAUAUUAAAGUUGUUGAGGUUAAAAAGCUCGUAGUUGAACCUUGGGCCUAGCCGGCCGGUCCGCCUCACCGCGUGCACUGGCUCGGCUGGGUCUUUCCUUCUGGAGAACCGCAUGCCCUUCACUGGGUGUGCCGGGGAAACCAGGACUUUUACUCUGAACAAAUUAGAUCGCUUAAAGAAGGCCUAUGCUCGAAUACAUUAGCAUGGAAUAAUAGAAUAGGACGUGUGGUUCUAUUUUGUUGGUUUCUAGGACCGCCGUAAUGAUUAAUAGGGACAGUCGGGGGCAUCAGUAUUCAAUUGUCAGAGGUGAAAUUCUUGGAUUUAUUGAAGACUAACUACUGCGAAAGCAUUUGCCAAGGAUGUUUUCAUUAAUCAGGAACGAAAGUUAGGGGAUCGAAGACGAUCAGAUACCGUCGUAGUCUUAACCAUAAACUAUGCCGAUUAGGGAUCGGACGGCGUUAUUUUUGACCCGUUCGGCACCUUACGAUAAAUCAAAAUUUGGGCUCCUGGGGGAGUAUGGUCGCAAGGCUGAAACU